GAAAAACAAAUGAUGCUUUAGCUUUCAUUCUAAUUUUGAGAAAUGGUAGGAGCACAACUGCGACAACUACGAUUCCAAGAAAUAAACUCCAGCUAGUAAAUAAAUAUCUAUAUUUCACAAGAUAGAUGUCUUGGAAUGUUUACCUUUAAGCUCUCUCAUAUAUCGAGUACGAAUAAAUGACCAUAAUAUAUCAGUAGACUUGGUUUGAUUAAAACACCCUGAAAGAUUACAUUGAGCAUCAGGGAUACCUUUAUCAAUUAUUGCAAGGGAAAGAAAUGGGUCUUGCUGUCUUGGCAUGCAUUGGUUCCCCAUCAACAUAGGUACACAUAAAGGCACCACAUGCUAUGAGCGCAUGAGAGCUCACACGUGUGAGGAAAAAAAAAAAAAAGGAGAGAGAGGAGGCAGAUAGAGGGAUAAAGAGAAAUAUUAGCUAUCAACAACAUAUUUACCAUAGUUAAAAAAUGACUUUAUCCAAGCCAACAAAAUAUGAUUUAUAGCUACCUAUCUAUGCAACAAUUUGGAAGAUUCAAGCCACAUGAAAAAAAUUAACAGCCAAUAUGCAUCUUCUCAACUGAGAAAAAUCAACUAAUCAUUCCCUAGAUGCUAUCAUUGCACAUGACCCUGGCCUCAAGUAAAACUAAAACAACAAAAAAAGAAAAUUAUAGUUAUAC
rnacentral:misc_RNA from 1 species